AUGGUAGGGGACACCUACCCGCACUGAUGGCCUCAUUCUGGUGGAAAGGCGACACGGACACCUUGGGUGUCAUCCGUCAGCUCAUUGCUAAGAUCAUUCUGUCACUUGGGCUUUAUUUGCCUGCACGCCAGCCGCCGCCUGCCUGCCUGCCUGCCUGCCUGCCUCCCUCCCUCCCUCCCUCCUCUGCUUCCUCUCUCUCUCUCUCUUUCUCCCUCUCCACCAAGAAGAAACAGCUUGGAGUAUUCUGCAGUUCAAACAUUAAGAUUGAUGGGCUGAAUUCCAUCCAGGGGAAACCUUGGCUGAGUUGCCGAAAAAAACAGUUUGCACACUUGGACCAAAUGCGUUUAGUCCUGCUUUUGCCUACGCAGCAGCUGUGCCUCCAUAUUUCCACACAGUGAGAGCUAUCAGAAUUGCUGAUCGCCCAGGCUCAGCGAUUGCAGGAAGGGUCCUCAGCGCCGGUUCCCCUGCUGGCUUUCUGGAAAUUAAAAGGCUAUUGAUGUUGCAGCAACAGGAAGAACAAGGGAACGAAAAGGGAGCAAAGGCAGCUGAAGAGAUGAGAGGCAAAGACUUGGUUUGAAGCUCACAAUGACUUCAGUGAGGAAUGAAAGACGUCUCCUGGUGUUCUCUCGUAAGAUCCAGUUAUGGAAGCCAGUGUAACAUUGAGGCUAGACUAAAAGUCACAACCUCUCAGCCUAAUGUGUUGUUGAGGGGAUAAAAUGGAACCAAGGCGGAUCAUGGCGUAAACUGCAAUGUGCUCUUCAGAGGAAAGGUGAGACAUAAAUGCCAUAAAUACAUAAAGAAGUGGACAAAGGGGCCAUAGGCACUGGGGUAACGUGGCUACUUUCAACUGAGGAAAUUGCUGGGAUCAAGGCUUUUCUAUUGAAUCUGUUUGGGAGAUCCAGACUAACCAACAGAGCUGCCGUGACUUGGGGCAGCGCAGCGGCAGCGUCCAUUGGGCCAGCAGUCGGCCUCUGAAGCAGAAAAUCCCCCAUGGAAGCCGCUUGCCAGUAAAUCUCAGGAAACAUUCUGGGGGCAGAUUUCUCACCUGUACAGUUCCGCUGCUGCCAUCUAGAGAGACAAUAGCACCAGGAGUGACCUACCUUGGCUAUUUUCUGCCUUCCAUGAUUAAGCCCCAGACCGAUAAUGGCCAGCUCCCAUGUUUGGCACACAGUUAUAAUACAUUUAAUCCAAAGGGGAAAAAAUUAUAGAUUAACAUUAUCUACAUAUCGACUACCUCCUUCUUGGAAAGUUUCUUCUAGAUUUCAUACUUCCUGCCCCUCCUAUUUUUAAAAUUCUUUUCUUCUACUGAUCUGUCUUUUAUCCUCUUCACUCUUCAAAUACAGCAAUAACAAGUCCACUUUCCAAUUAUUGUGGAAAGUCAAUAAAGGGUUUCUAGUUUCAUAAAACUUAUCA
rnacentral:lncRNA from 1 species